CCUGCUCACUGAGAAUUAAAGAGCUGCAGUAUAUUAACUGUACAAAGGUAGCAUAAUCAUUAGUCUUUUAAUUGGGGACUGGUAUGAAAGGUUUGACGGGAAUUGUCUGUCUUUAUUAUAAAGAAAUGAAGUUAAUUUCUUUGUGAAAAAGCAAAGAUUAAGUAAAGGGACAAGAAGACCCUAUUAAGCUUUAAUUUGAUUAACUAUUUUUGAAUGAUAAAUUUAGUUUAUUUAAUUAAAUUUUAUUUGGGGCGAAGGAUUAUAUAGACAGUAUCUUGUUAUUAAUAGAAUAAUUAAAAUUGGGGUUUGAUCUAAAUUGGUUAAAUUUAAGAAUAAGCUACUAUAGGGAUAACAGCGUUAUAUUUUUUGAGAGUUCAUAUUGACAAAAAUGUUUGCGACCUCGAUGUUGGAUCAAGAUGUCUAAAUAAUGAAGAGGUUAUUUGUUGAUGGUCUGUUCGACCAAUAAUAUCUUACGUGAUCUGAGUUCAGACCGGCG
rnacentral:rRNA from 1 species